UACGUAGGGUGCAAGCGUUGUCCGGAAUUAUUGGGCGUAAAGAGCUCGUAGGCGGUCUGUCGCGUCUGCUGUGAAAACUCGGGGCUUAACCCCGGGCCUGCAGUGGGUACGGGCAGACUAGAGUGCGGUAGGGGAGUCUGGAAUUCCUGGUGUAGCGGUGAAAUGCGCAGAUAUCAGGAGGAACACCCGUAGCGAAGGCGGCACUCUGGGCCGAUGCUGACACUGAGGAGCGAAAGCGUGGGGAGCGAACAGG
rnacentral:rRNA from 1 species